rnacentral:lncRNA from 1 species
AGAUGUGGAUCUCUAAGGGUGAAUAUGAUGAAUCUGGGCCAGCUAUAAUUCAUUGGAAAUGCUUCUAAGUUGGCUUAAGUUGAUCUGGAUGGUUAUCAAGCUCUUAAUGCUCCCAAUCCUGUGCCAUAUUUUCGUCAAGCUUGAUUGACUUGUUGGAUAUUUGAUGCUUUGGUUUUUUAAUAGGUAUAUCUAGUUAAUGAAUGGAUUUGUAAGUUAAGUUUGUUAUAUGUUUCCCCGUUAGGUUGUUGGAACAGACUUUUUAUGCAGUUGGCGAUGGCAUUUGAACUUAGUAGGUUAUAAUGGACAACAAAACUUUCUUUAUUCUACCAGCCAACACUUUAGAUAGAACUUUGUAGAUGACACCAUUGGAGAAAUGGGUCUAUAUUGUUCAAGCUUGACAGGUUAUGUUUGGUUUGAUUUUCCUUUUAUUCUUUUUUAUGAUGUGGCGAAAAAUUAGGUGCCUCGAGUUAGGAGGACAAUAAGUUUAAGCAUCCUUUUUCCUGGAGGGAUUUUUGAUUUAUUUUCUGUUGAUAUUAAUUGUAUGCUUAAUUGGUUAUGUUUUGCGGUACAAAAAAAAUAUUUUAUUUAUUUAUUUACAUCCUUUCUCUUGUAUUAUGGUGAACAGAUUUGACAGGAUCAUUUAGAAGGAAAUACCUUCUAGUGUGGUUUAUGAGGAUGAUAAGGUAUUUUCUGAUGCUUACCUAUCUUUUGUUAUUGUAUUUUUCUCAUUUCCCAAUGUUUAGGGAUGCAACUAGUUAUAAAUAGAGGGUAUAUCAUAUAAAAUGAUGUUUCAAAUGACACACCUACUAGUGAUGAUAACAGAGAAGUUUGAUAUCUAAAGGAAAAAGUAAUUUGCUAUACAAAUCCACAUUUAUACACGUGUUGAAUUUCAUAUGUUGUCUUAUGAAUGAUUGUUUUCUUUUUGUUUUCUAGUUUCAGUGAAACUUCUGACUCUUAUUGUUUAUGAAUCUUGUUAACAUUUAAUUAUUCUUUAGAGUCUACACUUGUUGAUCAGAUAAACAAGUAUAAUGGUUCAACUAGUGUUCCAUAAGUGUCCAUUUUAUAUCGAUAAUUAGAAUUUGUAAGACUUUGCAUUAUUUUAGUUUAAGGCACCAAUGAUGAACCUAAAUAUAGUGGCAACCUAUCUUUACACUUACGAAAAUGAAACCAUAGGUUCUAAGGCCAUGUUUAGUGUUCCCAUUAAGUUUUCCAAUGUCUUAUGAAAAUGAAUAACUUUGAGUGGAUUCCGUUUUGCUGAUAUUUGGUUGAGGUGGGCUCUGACAAAUCUGUGUGCCCAAUGGUUUAGUACACCAUCUCUUCGGGAGCAAUUAAAGGUUCUGUUUUGGUUCAAUAUCCCAAUUAAAGAAGGGUGGGUAAUUCCAAUUGUUAAUAGUAACAGUUGUUGGGAAUUUGAGUCAAUACUAACAAUCCUCUGCUUAAUAAGUGCUUCUCUCAAUUAGUUUAAUGUCUCAGAUAAAGGUUAUGUUUCGGUUCAAUAGCUCAAUUAAAGAAGGGGGGUCUUCCAAUUGUUAAUAGUAAGAGAUGUUGGAAAUUUGAGUCAAUAUUGUCAAUCCUUCCUCUGCAGUAAUAAGUGCUUCUCUUAUUUAGUUUAUUGUCUUAGAUAUCUUCACUUUAUAACUUUAGGAAUUGUCUUACAAAUAUAAGAUCACAAUUAUAAAAAUAUUCUCCACACUCAAAGUUCCUAGCUCUCUGUGAUGAUACCAUUCGCAAGCUCCAACUCUAAACUCAAUCCCAUUAGAGCUAAUUAAUUAAUUAGCCAUAACAGUAUGGGCAAUAUGAAUUUUCUUUCUGGAAUUUGCUAUGCUACACUUAUGUCUAUUCAAAUUGGCAUUAUUUAGAUUAUGAAUAUGAAAUGUUUGGCAAAUGGUCUAUCAAAGGCUGGUGAUACUUUUGUUGAUGGAGUAGUCAUAACUACAACACGAACAUUGCCAAGUUAAUCAGAAAGGGUUAUGAAUUAAACCCUAAUUGAAUUGAGGAUAUAAACAAGGUUAGUGAAUUUAAAAGGUUUUUAGCAUAGGGUUUUCAAAGUGGGAGAUCGCAUUGAUGUAAAGCUUAUAGAGGUAUGUCAUGUUAUGGUUGAUUUUUAUGUAUAUAGUCCAUAUCUACAUAAUUGAGUUGAUUGAUGUUGUUAGUUGUUGAAAUGGAAAAAGAAAAUGGUAACCGUCUUUAUAUAUAAAGAGGUCCACAAAUCAAUUUGGUUUUGGUGCUGUUCUUAUUGAGUAAGCAAAUAUGAGGCCUACCUACGCCUAAAUAGGCACAGCCAUAUUGAAUGAAUUGAAUUUAAAACUAAAUUUAUUAUUUUCUUGAUCUUAUUAAAAUAAUUAUGAUAAAAGUCUUUUAUAUUAAGAAUGGUAUAAAAAUUAUUAUAAUUUUAUUUUUCAUUUGAAAAUUUUGUAUGACUAUGGUUUAAAACUAAUAAUAUCAUUCAAUUGCAGUGUCUUUGGAUAAAAAUAAUUACUGUUUACACAAAAAAAUGAAUCAUUUUGAGUUUAUAUCUAUUAAAAUAUUAAUUAAUUUUACCACAAACUCUUAAUCUAUUUCUAUUAAUUUUCUAUUCUAAUUUCGUAAUUUAAGACAUUCUUACUCGUGUGGAAAAGAGAAUAGCUAGAGAAAAGAAAAGGCAGGAAGAGGUAUUUUAAUAUGGAAAAACAUACAUUGUAUAGAUAUUUUAAUGGAGGUUGACUAGGCAAAAGGCUCAACCUUGUGUAAUGGGGAAAAUGAAAAAGAAUUUUUAGAAACCAAAUCGGGGCAAAAUGAAAACGAAUACUAAAUAAAAGCUUCGAUUGAGAUGAUGGAGCUUCGAUUGAGAGAUGAAGAUUAGAAUAUAUGGAGACGAAGAGCAAACGACUACGGUGUGUAUAAAAACCAUGAAACCCUAUAAGUCUGUGAAAAACUACGGAAAGUAUGUAAGAAUAUGAGAGUGUGAAAAUAUAUUAUGGGAUAUAAGACACUUUGGCGCAAUUUAAAAAAAAAAUCGUUUAGACUUCUUAGGGGUUCAAAUAACUCCUCGUUAGUGCUUCUCUUUCAAGAGGUUAUUAUAACCCCUCUUAAAAAAAAACCCUUGUUAUAAUUUAUUUAUUUUUUGUAGUGACCAUGUUCUUAAAAUUUUAUGUUGUUUUAAAACACUUUUGUCUGUGUCUGGACACGUGUUGUCACAUGUCAAAUUUAAUUAUUAACUAGAGUUUGAUGAAAAAAGGAAAAUUUAUAUUUUAUAUAUAUAUAAACUAUAGAUAUAUAUAAAAACUAUACAAUACAUGUGGAACUUGCACCAGGUGCUUCUACUUGGUCCCAAAUUCAUGUCACACUUUGGGGGGGAACUUCAGCUUGUCAGCCACGUCUGGGAUGGCGAUCAAUUCCUUGUGAUUCAUUUUAAACUUGUGUCAACAGGACAAGUCUCCUUUCGCUUGCGCCCUAUCUGAUGCUUUUCGGCUUGUAGGGUGCAUGUCUGACUAUGAACUGCUCCCUGAACAAUGCAGAAAACUGAUCGAAUGAGGUUGUGUCCAUCAAGGAGACCAAUGAAUCAUUCUAGUGUCGUGCCUUCGAACGUCCCCAUGAACAACUUGCAGUGCAUUGUGUCUGUCCCUUCGAAGAUCAUCAUUUGAGUAUGGAAAGCCGUGAUGUGGGUUUCCAGGUUUUCGGUAUAUGUGAAAGUGAUUAUGGGUGUAAUGAAAUUGGUUGGUAUCACGACAUCCAUGAUCGUCUGGGAGAACUGCAUGGGGCGAGCCCUAACUGGAAUAGGCAGGCUUUGCUCCCCUAUUGUGCGUUCCCCCAAACGCUUUAGAUCUCUCCGCAACUCCUCAUUGGCCUUGCGUAACUCUUCGUUGUCUGUCCGCGACACAUCCAACUCGACCUUGAAUUGGUCUUAGCAGAAUAGAUUUGUCUGCAUUAACCAUAUUAUUAGCAAGAAAAAAAUAUUGUAGACAUUAUUAGUAUCUAUGGGACAACUUUUUAAGAGUUCAAAGCAUAUUCAUCGCACACAAAGCAUACUUAUUUGUGAGGGUUAUGAAUUUGAUGAAAGGAAAUUAUUCAAAUCUUGAUUCACUUUCCACAUUUAUUCUUCUUUGGUGCAGAGGAUUUGGCAGAAAAUGAAGGUAGGAAUAUGUGUAUUCAUACAAAUGGAAAUUAGAUUUUGAGAACCAAAGUUGUAGGGUGGCCAGGAGGUCGGAGGAGAAGAUAUGUGGCAUGCAAGAGACAAACUUAAUCCAGGCAAUUGCUUCCUGCACCCACACUUUUGAACCUGCACCCAACACAAUUUCAAAAAUUCCAAAAAUACCUUUUAUUCUGGAAAUAAAAAUUUGGAAUAAAAAGUAAUGUAUUUUGGUAGAUCCGGAAGAGAUUAUUGUGUUCUGGAUAUAAAAAUCUGGAAAAAAAAUCAAAAUCUCAUUCCAAAUAAAAAAAAUUAGAACUGAAAAUAAUACAUUUUGAAAAAUUUUAUCCAGAAGAGAUUAUUGUGUUCGGAAAAAAGGGUCCAGAAUGUAAUUUUAUAUGUACCCAUUUUUUUAAGGGUAUUUUUGUUUUUUCCCUUCUAAUUGGGUGCAGUGAUAUGGUGCAGGAAUCAAUUAUCCUUUGUCAUGUCAGCAAUUUGCACAAUAAUGAGACCCUUAUACUAGACUUAUCCACGUUGGGGUGGAGAAAGUAAUUGUGAGGCGGGUCCUGUUGGUGUGGAUGCGAGAAGCCUGAUGGUAGGGAAUGAAGGAAUCGCCGUGGGAAUUAUUGACUUUAGCAUGUGAAAUUAGCAAUACUAAUAUUUAAUUAGUUAAAUGGAAUUAUAGUUAUUAUAUAGGUUGAUAUGAGAUUUUGUGGUUGUUACAGUAAAAAUGUAAAAAAAAAAUACAAUAAAUGUGGUAUGAAAAUCAUAUUUGAUCCAAUAUUUUUUCAAAUUCUUAUAUUUUCUUACCUUUUUCUUUCACUUUUAUAUUUUUUUAAUUUUAAUAAUAUUCUUUUGCGAUGUUACAUUUUUCUUUAUUUUCAAAUGGUGAUGGUUAUUUGUGGUGGUUGAUAGUGAACCUUACUAAUUAAAUUAAGUUUUGAGUAUUUUUUUUACUGGUGAUGGUUGUGUUUUUGUUUGUUUAUUUUUUUUAAGUCAUAAAACUCAAAAAGAAACCAACUAGGUGUAAA